AGAGUUUGAUCCUGGCUCAGAUCAACGCUGGCGGCGCGCCUAACACUGCAAGUCGAACGAGAAAGCAGGAGCAAUCUUGUGAGUAAAGUGGCGUACGGGUGAGUAACACGUGGAUCAUCUACCCUCUUGUGGGGGAUAACUCUGGGAAACCGGAGCUAAUACCGCAUGAGCUCGAGAGAGGAAAGCAGCAAUGCGCAGGAGGAGGAGUCCGCGGCCGAUUAGCUAGUUGGUAGGGUAAAAGCCUACCAAGGCUACGAUCGGUAGCCGGCCUGAGAGGGCACACGGCCACACUGGCACUGAAACACGGGCCAGACUCCUACGGGAGGCAGCAGUGGGGAAUCUUGCACAAUGGGGGCAACCCUGAUGCAGCGACGCCGCGUGAGCGAUGAAGCCCUUCGGGGUGUAAAGCUCUUUCGGCAGGGAAGAUUAUGACGGUACCUGCAGAAGCAGCUGCGGCUAACUACGUGCCAGCAGCCGCGGUAAUACGCAGGCAGCGAGCGUUGUUCGGAGUUACUGGGCGUAAAGGGUGUGUAGGCGGUCUUCUAAGUCUGGUGUGAAAUCUCCCGGCUCAACUGGGAGGGUGCGCCGGAAACUGGAAGGCUAGAGUGCGGGAUGGGAGAGUGGAAUUCCUGGUGUAGCGGUGAAAUGCGUAGAUAUCAGGAGGAACACCUGUGGUGUAGACGGCUCUCUGGACCGCAACUGACGCUGAGACACGAAAGCGUGGGUAGCAAACAGGAUUAGAUACCCUAGUAGUCC
rnacentral:rRNA from 1 species